UGGAGGGAAGUGGGUGGGGAAUGGACUAAAUGGAUGGGUAAUAGGUAUUAAGGAGGCACUUGAGAUGAGCACUGGGUAUUCUAUGUAAGCGAUGAAUCACUGAAUUCUACUCCUGAAACCAGUAUCGCACUGUAGGUUAACCAUCUAAAGUUUAAAU